AGCGUAGGCGGACUUUUAAGUGAGAUGUGAAAUACCCAGGCUCAACCUGGGGGCGUGCAUUUCAAACUGGAAGUCUAGAGUGCAGGAGAGGAGAGUGGAAUUCCUAGUGUAGCGGUGAAAUGCGUAGAGAUUAGGAAGAACACCAGUGGCGAAGGCGACUCUCUGGACUGUAACUGACGCUGAGGCUCGAAAGCGUGGGAGCAAACA
rnacentral:rRNA from 1 species